rnacentral:rRNA from 1 species
GACGAACGCUGGCGGCGUGCUUAACACAUGCAAGUCGAACGAUGAAGCCUAGCUUGCUAGGUGGAUUAGUGGCGAACGGGUGAGUAAUACGUGAGUGACCUACCUUUGACUCUGGGAUAAGCCUGGGAAACUGGGUCUAAUACCGGAUACGACCAAUCUCCGCAUGGGGUGUUGGUGGAAAGCGUUAUGGAGUGGUUUUAGAUGGGCUCACGGCCUAUCAGCUUGUUGGUGAGGUAAUGGCUUACCAAGGCGACGACGGGUAGCCGGCCUGAGAGGGUGACCGGCCACACUGGGACUGAGACACGGCCCAGACUCCUACGGGAGGCAGCAGUGGGGAGUAUUGCACAAUGAGCGCAAGCCUGAUGCAGCGACGCCGCGUGAGGGAUGACGGNCUUCGGGUUGUAAACCUCUGUUAGCAUCGAAGAAUCGAAAGUGACGGUAGGUGCAGAGAAAGCGCCGGCUAACUACGUGCCAGCAGCCGCGGUAAUACGUAUGGCGCGAGCGUUGUCCGGAAUUAUUGGGGUAAAAACUUNUAGGCGGUUGGUCGCGUCUGCUGUGAAAGGCUGGGGGCUUACCCCUGGUUUUGCAGUGGGUACGGGCUAACUAGAGUGCAGUAGGGGAGACUGGAAUUCCUGGUGUAGCGGUGGAAUGCGCAGAUAUCAGGAGGAACACCGAUGGCGAAGGCAGGUCUCUGGGCUGUAACUGACGCUGAGAAGCGAAAGCAUGGGGAGCGAACAGGAUUAGAUACCCUGGUAGUCCAUGCCGUAAACGUUGGGCACUAGGUGUGGGGGACAUUCCACGUUUUCCGCGCCGUAGCUAACGCAUUAAGUGCCCCGCCUGGGGAGUACGGCCGCAAGGCUAAAACUCAAAGAAAUUGACGGGGGCCCGCACAAGCGGCGGAGCAUGCGGAUUAAUUCGAUGCAACGCGAAGAACCUUACCAAGGCUUGACAUAUACUGGACUGCGUCAGAGAUGGCGUUUCCCUUCGGGGCUGGUAUACAGGUGGUGCAUGGUUGUCGUCAGCUCGUGUCGUGAGAUGUUGGGUUAAGUCCCGCAACGAGCGCAACCCUCGUUCUAUGUUGCCAGCACGUGAUGGUGGGGACUCAUAGGAGACUGCCGGGGUCAACUCGGAGGAAGGUGGGGAUGACGUCAAAUCAUCAUGCCCCUUAUGUCUUGGGCUUCACGCAUGCUACAAUGGCCGGUACAGAGGGUUGCGAUACUGUGAGGUGGAGCUAAUCCCUAAAAGCCGGUCUCAGUUCGGAUUGGGGUCUGCAACUCGACCCCAUGAAGUCGGAGUCGCUAGUAAUCGCAGAUCAGCAACGCUGCGGUGAAUACGUUCCCGGGCCU